GAGUUUGAUCCUGGCUCAGGGUGAACGCUGGCGGCGCGCUUAAUGCAUGCAAGUCGAACGUGCUUUCGGGCAAGUGGCAGACGGCUGAGUAACGCGUGAGUAACGUGCCCUCCGGUGGGGUAUAGCCUCGGGAAACUGAGAGUAAUCCCGCAUACGAUCCGGUGGCCUUGGUUGCCGGAUGAAAGCCUUCGGGCGCCGGAGGAGCGGCUCGCGUCCUAUCAGGUAGUUGGUGGGGUAAAAGCUCACCAAGCCUAUGACGGGUAGCUGGUCUUAGAGGACGAUCAGCCAGAGGGGGACUGAGACACGGCCCCCACUCCUACGGGAGGCAGCAGCAGGGAAUUUUGGGCAAUGGGCGAAAGCCUGACCCAGCGACGUCGCGUGGGGGAUGAAGGCCUUUGGGCUGUAAACCCCUUUUCCCGGGGAAGAGAAAGGACGGUACCCGGGGAAUAAGCUCCGGCUAACUACGUGCCAGCAGCCGCGGUAAUACGUAGGAUGCGAGCGUUGUCCGGAUUUACUGGGCGUAAAGGGCGAGUAGGCGGCCCGCUAAGUCUCAUGUGAAAUCUCCCGGCUCAACUGGGAGGGGUCAUGAGAAACUGGCAGGCUUGAGGUCAGCAGAGGAAAGCGGAAUUCCCGGAGUAGCGGUGAUAUGCGUAGAUACCGGGAGGAACACCAGAGGCGAAGGCGGCUUUCUGGGCUGCACCUGACGCUGAGGCGCGAAAGCGUGGGGAGCGAACCGGAUUAGAUACCCUGGUAGUC
rnacentral:rRNA from 1 species